ACAGGAACUGUAGUCUCAGUUUUCUAAGAGGAUAAAAGAGAGUCUAAAUCAACAAACCAGGAAUGGAGGUGGUUAGAUACUUGAAAGUGACAAACAAGUAUGUCUUAACAACAGCAUGGUUGGACACUGCUCAGAGGAGAUAACUUAAACAUUGUCAGCCCCUUGGAGCAAAGGCCAGAAUUGGAUCUUUUGAAAAAAACACCUUGGCAGAUAAUCGUCACUGAAUUCUCUAUUUUGGCUGAAGCUGAAUUGCUAUUUGCUGAACAGCAAAUUUAUAACACAGCUGCUGCUGCUGCUGCUGAUGAUGAUGAUGAUCCACAUGAGAAGCAGUCACUCCAAGGAGCAGAGCCCAUUCAUCUACAUAGGUGAAACCAACCUUGCAGAGAGCACCAGACUGGUAGGACAGUUCUAAGAUAUGGAUAGAAGGGCCUACUCUGCAUUUGUUCCCUACUGCUGAUUUGGAUGGAAGCAAGAGGAGCCAGUGACUCCAUAUUGCCCAAAGCAGGAACACUGGGCUGCCUCUUGAGAGCUGUGGCGCUUGUGAGGGGACACACUUUAUGUCCUGAAGUGAAGAUUUCUAAAAGAUACUUGGGACUGUAAUAGUAUCCUACAAACUGUCACCCAAACCCAGGAACUGAGUACACAGUUAGAACUCUCAGUGAAUUACAACAGUUGCUUCUCAGUUUUAAUAUGUUUUUGUUACAAAAAUACUUUUCCCCACAGUCCUGAGCUAGUUAGCCAUAUCUCUUACUCUCUUAGGAGAAUUAGAUCUACCUCUAAAUCCUAGACAUGAUAUUUAUCUGUCUUUGCUUGAUAUAUGAAAGUUAUUAACCAUCUCAGCUAUUUUGUAAAAUACAGUCAUACAGUAAACCCUUAAAUAUUAGUCAAAAUGAUUUUGUGUAUUCUGAAAAAUAUAGUAAUAAACAGUGAUUCAAAUGCUGAUAUAUCACAGAA